rnacentral:rRNA from 1 species
UACAGAGGUCCCAAGCGUUGCUCGGAUUUACUGGGCGUAAAGGGCGCGUAGGCGGAUUUCUAAGUCGGGGGUGAAAGCCCAGGGCUCAACCCUGGAAUUGCCUUCGAUACUGGAAGUCUUGAGUACGGGAGAGGUGAGUGGAACUCCGAGUGUAGAGGUGAAAUUCGUAGAUAUUCGGAAGAACACCAGUGGCGAAGGCGACUCACUGGCCCGUUACUGACGCUGAGGCGCGAAAGCGUGGGGAGCAAACAGG